AUGACUAGCAACCCUUCAACAGUUGUUGCCUUCAUCAGGUUCAUCUGGAAAAAGUAUCUUAAUCACGCCAAGUGGCGUGUUGUUGGCCUUGACUGUGAAUACACUAGAUAUGUCCACAGCAAAGAGCGUAAGAAGCUUCCACUUGAGCAACAAGCUCAUGCCAGGAGUUUUAUCCCUCCACUUCUGCGCAACUUCCUUGACAAUGACACAGUCGAAUUUGUGGGUGCGGCCAUUGGCAAUGACGUAGAAAAAUUCAAGUUCUAUAACUUGGGUAUCAGAAAAUCUGUUGAUGUGCUGGGACUGGGUAUCAAGGUUCCUAACCAAAAAGCAGGCAAUUUGGCUUCAUUGGAGAAGCUAGCAAAGAAGGUUGCAAACAUAAGUCUUAACAAGGACAAAAGCAUCACUGUUAGUCAGUGGGAAAAGUCCAACCUGGACCAUGACCAGAUCAAGUAUGCAUGCCUGGAUGCCUAUGCGAGCUUCGAGGUUUAUAGGCGACAUUCUAACAUAACUGGUUAUCUUAGGACCCGUUGA
rnacentral:rRNA from 1 species